AGCAGCCGCGGUAAUUCCAGCUCCAAUAGCGUAUAUUAAAGUUGUUGCAGUUAAAAAGCUCGUAGUUGAAUUUCGGGAUCAUCAGGUCGGUCGUGCCUCCGGUAUGUACUGGUCUCGGUGGUUCCUCCUUCUUGUAGAACCGUAAUGCCAUUAAUUUGGUGUUGCGGGAAAACAGGACUGUUACUUUGAAAAAAUUAGGGUGUUUAAAGCAGGCGAUCGCUUGAGUACAUUAGCAUGGAAUAAUGAAAUAGGACGUUCGAUCCUAUUUUGUUGGUUUCUAGGAUUGACGUAAUGAUUAAUAGGGAUAGUUAGGGGCAUUAGUAUUCAAUUGUCAGAGGUGAAAUUCUUGGAUUUAUUGAAGACUAACUACUGCGAAAGCAUUUGCCAAGGAUGUUUUCAUUAAUCAAGAACGAAAGUUAGGGGAUCGAAGACGAUCAGAUACCGUCGUAGUCUUAACCAUAAACUAUGCCGACUAGGGAUCGGAUGAUGUUAAUUUUUUAAUGACUCA
rnacentral:rRNA from 1 species